UUUUUUUUUUUUUUUUUUGGUUUUUGUUUUGUUUUGUUUUUCUUUGUCCCUGGCCUCUUACAUGACUCUGUCCAGCAAUGCUGUCCAAGAGGGAGUUACCAUAACUCUGAACCAAGACACUAUUAAUCGUUUCCCAUUCCAGUCUCUCUUCCCUUGUGACUCAGCUACCCUUGUGUCUUUGUUCAGAACUCUAACAUAACUGAGUGCACAUACAAAAGGCCCUAAUUAAUCUGAGGCAACCUAUCCAGUCAUCCCUAGGAGGCACAUUAGGGAAAGCAAGGCCUCCUGAGGAAAAGAAAGGUAAGUGGCUAUUGAUGGUAUGAAAAACAGGAAGAAAUAAAUAUAACUAUAAAAAUAAAGAGAUUGCCAACAUCUAGGUUGCUAGUACUUAGAAAAAAAUCCUCACCUUUUAAAAAAUGUCUUUUUUGAUGUUAUUUGGGUAUAUGUCUGUGAGCUUUUAUGAGUAUGUACACUGUAUGUGUACAGGAACACACAGGUCAGGAGAAGUUGUUAGAUCCCUUAGAACUAGAGUUACAGGUGGUAGGGAGCCACCAUAUUGGGUGCGAUGAAUUGAAUUCUGAUUGUCUGCAACAGCAGAAAGAGUUUUUACAGCUGAGUCAUCUCUUCAGCUCCACCCUCACCUUUCUAAGGGCUAAAAUUAGUCCUGGGUGGAAUAGACCAUGAAGGAGGGACUCACAUGUUCAAUUUUCUUGCUAUUCAUUAUGUAGUCCAGGUAGAUGGCAACCCUCCUGCCUCUGCCUCUGCCUCUGCCUCUGCCUCUGCCUCUGCCUCUGCCUCUGCCUCUGCCUCUGCCUCUGCCUCUGCCUCUGCCUCUGCCUCUGCCUCUGCCUCUGCCUCUGCCUCUGCCUCUGCCUCUGCCUCUGCCUCUGCCUCUGCCUCUGCCUCUGCCUCUGCCUCUGCCUCUGCCUCUGCCUCUGCCUCUGCCUCUGCCUCUGCCUCUGCCUCUGCCUGAGUACUGGGAUCAUAGGCAGAGUUCUACCUUUCCAGCUUCCUGGGGAGGACUCUGCCUAAUGGUCUGAACACACAAUGAAUUGUUUAUUUCCAAAGUCUAUGUUGAUGUCGCCCAGCAAGUAUUUGUUAUCUCCAGCAAAGAGCCCUUGAACUUCUGUCAAUAGUUAAUAAUUAACGAGACUGGAUUUAAAGUCUUUUCUCCCUAUCAACCAGUUACCAAAACUUUAUAUUGACUUGACUGUUAUUUUAUUGAUUCUAUGUUAACAAACCUUUUCUAGGGGAAAAAUAAGCAGAAAGGGCAAAGUAUUGAGAAAACCUAUUACUGGGGAUUUUGAUUCUGUGGACCUAGAAGACAACCCUGUGAUGCAUUAAGCAGCCUCCACCAAUAUCCCAUCCUGCAGGCAACAGUGGUGCACAGGGUUAUAGGAAGGACGAGGUGGGAAUUAAAAGGAAGACUCAGGGUGAAAUUGAUCCUUCUCAAGAACUCAGUGCACAAUCGCUCCUGUGGCAUGGGCUCUCCUUUCUUCAGUAGAGUGGACUGGGAAUGGUGUGUGUCCUGUGCAAUCAGAAAUGGCCCCUGGGGUCCCAUGGCUGUCACAUUUCUGCACAGUUCUCAGACUGAGCAAAGCAUCAGAGAUUGUUAGCACAUUUCCCAGUGGAUCUGAAACUGGGCUCAGUACCAGCAAGCACACUCCAGAGAUUUGUCUCUCCUCCAUGCUUGGCUAACAGCUAUUCCCUGGUGCCCAGGCAAGAAUUAAGUAGAGUGUAUGCCUUGCACUGUUACAUACUGUGUCCCCAACAGCUGGCUCAUUAAUGCAAUUUAGAAGGAAGAGAGAACUGGCUGUUCACCAUGAUAUGUAAGGUAUUUGUAAUAAAUCUCUCAAUAAGGAGGUAUAAAAAUUCCCUGUUUCUGGGCAGCCAAAAGAAGCAGAACAUUAAGCAGGAGCCAGUGAGCCUCAUUAGCAACAGGAUCCAAUGCAGAAGGUCCAGGGGGACGCGCCCCACAUUUCUAUCGGUAAUAGCUUUUCUUUUACCUGAAAUAUGCUGGUAAUUUUCUCGCUUGUGAAAUUCAGUUCACCUAAAGAUUAAUAAAUAUACUGGUUCUUAAUAUUUAACUAAAUCCCUUCCAAGCUCUGGAAGCUACAUAAAAGUAAAGCAUCUUUUGUAACUGGUCCUUCUUUUGCUCACUUUCCUGAGAUGCAGGGAUAGCCAAGUCAAUAUAGAAUGAUUUAUUCUGAGAAGAAGGAAAUAGUAUGACAAACCAUUUCAUAUAACUUUGUUAUAUAUAUAUUUCAUAUGAAUAUGUAUGUGUACAAGUAUACUUAUAUGUAUAAUGUAGUUAUCAAGGUCAAAAAAAGGGCCUGAGGCCAGAGGCAAGAGAAUUUCUGGGCCUUGAUAGGUGCCAUCCUAGGUUCUGGGUUCAAUGAGUCUGUAUCAAGGUUCUGGCCUCUGUUAACAAAUAGAGAUGUCUCACACACACACACACACACACACACACACACACACACACACUCCACGCGCUUACACUACAGAUAUGUACACCACAUACUCUCCAAUAUACAUCAAAGAAAUUAAAAUUUUUUAAAUUCA
rnacentral:lncRNA from 1 species